CGCACCUUGCGCUCCUUGGUAUUCCUUGGAGCAUGCCUGUUUGAGUAUCAUGAGCAAAUCUCAAAGUCGAUCCUUUUGUUAAUUCAAUUGGGUUUGCUUUGGACUUGGAGGUCUUGCAGAUUUCACCGUCUGCUCCUCUUAAAUGCAUUAGCUGGAUCUCAGUAUUAUGCUUGGCUCCACUCGGCGUGAUAAGUAUCACUCGCUGAGGACACUGAUAAAAAAGGUGGCCAGGAAAAUAAUUGAUUGAACCGCUUCUAACGGUCUAUUAACUUAGACAAUUACCCUUAACGUUUGAUCUCGAAUCAGGUAGGACUACCCGCUGAACUUAA
rnacentral:rRNA from 1 species